rnacentral:misc_RNA from 1 species
GUUAAUAACAAAACUGAAGGAAGAUGACCAGCUAAUACAAAUUUCUCAUCUGCACCAAACUCUACAACUCAGUAUAGUCAGCAUAAUUACAAGGGUCAACAGGGCUUACACUUUGUUAAGUAUGUGUCUGUGAAAUGCAUUUGUCAGGAAAAUUACAAUAGUACAAAAUCCUGCCAAGGGUCACCCAACUUUACAGCAAAUGCUCUAAUGACUGUCUUUUUUCCAGACGUCAGUCCUGUAUCCUACUUGAGCCACCAUUAGAUACGAUGAUCAAAACCAACUGUCAAUGGCCCUCAUGCUGGCCUCCAGUUGAGGACAGUUACGUCCGGUCGGCAAGGCAUUCCAUGACCUGAAAUUGGAGGACCAGUAGGGAAAGCAUUUGACCCAGAAGGCUGGAAUCCAACAUUACUCACAGGUGGUCUAUCAGGUGGUCUAAAAUAACCUUCUUGAGCAAUAGUUGGACCAGGGCAUGAUCUUCCUGCACCAAUCCACAUACUGCGCUGGUGGUCACCACUGAACUCAUUGGGUUGAACCCUCCACUGUUCAUCACCAAUAUAACGCCUCGAUCCAUCAGGGCGCUCUGGUAAUGAGCAUGGUGUAGGAUAUGCUUGUUGUGGAUGUUGCUGCACUGGGGCCCUUGGAUACGAAAAACUAUUGGAGGGGAUUUGAUGUGGAGGGUUAAGAUGCAUGGGCCUUGGGGCAAAAGGCACAUUACCAGGUUGAAAUUUCUGCGUGGACUGAGAAACUGGUGGGUUUAUAUAUGCAUCGUUAUAACCAUAUUCCAAAGGUCGUGAACUAUAUCCAGAAGAUUCCCGCAAAUUACUAACUCCUGCUGGUGUAAACGAAGGUGGUUGCAAUGGGAAUACCUCAUUCCUAUUAGAAGCAUUGAUACGAGGACCAUGAGGCAUGUUUCCAGCUACCUGUGGUAGCCGAUGACCACUGGGUAUGUUACUAACUUCAUUUGGAAGAGGAGGUUGCGUAUAUGCCACUCCAGGCGAAG